AGUGAACGCUGGCGGUAGGCCUAACACAUGCAAGUCGAACGGCAGCACAGGAGAGCUUGCUCUCUGGGUGGCGAGUGGCGGACGGGUGAGGGAUACAUCGGAAUCUACUCUGUCGGGGGGGAUAACGGAGGGAAACUUCCGCUAAUACCGCAUACGACCUACGGGGGCAAGCAGGGGAUCUUCGGACCUUGCGCGGUUGAAUGACUCUAUGUCGGAUUAGCUAGUUGGCGGGGGAAAGGCCCACCAAGGAGACGAUGCGUAGCUGGUCUGGGAGGAUGAUCGGCCACACUGGAACUGAGACACGGUCCAGACUCCUACGGGAGGCAGCAGUGGGGAAUAUUGGACAAUGGGCGAAAGCCUGAUCCAGCCAUACCGCGUGGGUGAAGAAGGCCUUCGGGUUGUAAAGCCCUUUUGUUGGGAAAGAAAUCCAGCUGGCUAAUACCCGGUUGGGAUGACGGUACCCAAAGAAUAAGCACCGGCUAACUUCGUGCCAGCCGCCGCCGUAA
rnacentral:rRNA from 1 species